CCGUCACGGGGCCCAGAGGUCAGACACGGAAGCACCGGGACUCCGCCGAUCUGCAGUGAAGGUCUCCUCCGAGGGAGGCCGAAGGUCAGCUGCGGUUUGGGAGGGGACACGAGAGCACAUGGAUGAGGACAAAGGAAGGUUCUGGAGGUUCAGAAGUCCAAGAUCUAGGGACCACAUCUGAUGACGGCCUUCUUGCUGCUGGGGACUCUCUGCAGAAUCCUGAGUUACUAAGAGGGAAGCCACAACCAACCAUGACCCGAAGAGCAAGCCACAGAAGACGGAUAAGAAAGUCGUGAAAAGUGUCAAAAUUAAUAAGCAGGUUCACGUAGGCGGGUGAGGGGUGGCCAGGGUGGGGACAGAGGCCACGACUGGGUGCAUCACAGACCGUGACAUUCCAAAACACUCGCCGUGGUUCUUCUUUGUAUUUUCUCUAUCUUGGA